UGGCUCUUGUCUGAAUCUGAUGGGUACUCCGAUGAGUGAGUUCAUUGUGAAAAACCUCAUGUUUACCAAACUUGCGUUUCAGGCUUUGGAUUCGCUGCUCUGCUAUGCAACGGUUAUUUGGCAUGCUGGGAUUUCCUUGCUUGAAAGGUUGCUGUGUUAGAUGAGUCAUACCCUGAGCUCUAACAGAUGGUCCAUCAGCUCUUUCCUUUGGUUGAACAGCCUGUUGCUGGGAAGAAGAUUCAGUUCCCAUCCAUACAUUCAGUCUUUUGCACUUGAUCAGUUGUUCUUCCUGUGCCUCAAGGUCAUGCCUUUUCUGCAGAGCGGCAACCCGUUCUAUGAGAGCAGCCUUUUCUGCCUGAGCUUUAAUGCGAGCAGAAGAUGUUGAAGAUGCAUGUGAGGAAGAACUUGAUUUGUAGUUUGAUUUUUGUUUUGACGCAUUAGAAACACUGUCAUCAGGUCCAAUGUCAUCUGUGUUUACACUUUCAGCAAUGGUGUGUGUCUUAUGCAAUGCAACCUCUGUUAACCACGCACAUUACAUCCUGUAGAAAACCAUCAAAAGUUUCAAUAUUUUGUUGAAACCAGUGAUUUUGCCUUUCUAGUUCAUUUUCAGGCAGUGGUAACUUCACCAGUGACUCAUGAUUUGUUUUGGCUUCAUCACAGAUGUUGAUUAACUUAACCAAGUUAGAUUGCACUUAAUUUGCCUUCUCCUUUGAUUCCAUGAGCUCUUUAAGCAACUCUAUUGAUUUCUUAGCUUGUUUACAUUUCA